rnacentral:lncRNA from 1 species
GACGAAUAGAAGUAGAGAGGGGACAAAAUGACUUCCAUUUUAGCGCCGAGAAACAUUACCGUAGCAGAACUUGUGCUACAGUUGAAGAACAAACUUGGUAUUGUUGAAGCCCGCAAUGAGAUCGAAUUGAAGUUCAAAGUCCUGAAUUUGAAUAUACCUCCAGCAGAGAUACGCGACGAUGAUGACCUAAAUUGGUACAUAUCUAUUCAUAAGAAAAC